CGGAACACCGACCAUCGCACGCCCAAUUCAAUAUAACAAACACCGAUUAGACAAGACAACAUCAAACAACGUGCAGUGUGAGUGUGUGAAAUGUCCGGGGUUAUGAAUAUUGACGGAUGUGGAGGGGAAGAUGAAAUAAUGUCCAACACAUAUGUGCCAUCGGGAGUGUGUGUGCACCCGCGCUGCCGACGGCGGAACACCAGGAGGGAAAUGAGCGUGAGUUAUUACAAAGGGAUAAUGCAGUCCCAACGAAAAAGGGUCACGAUCGUGUGUUGGAACCGCAGGCGACAUGGACAGUAUACCGUUCACACAGCUUCAAUGGAGGGACUGAGAGAUCUCGGACUAAAUCUAAAAUAUCUUAAACUGUGUUCCAAAGAUAAACGGAGGUCUUACGGGUUUGGAACAACAUGAGGGUUACGUGAGGAGUGGGUCCAGAGGCUUCAGUUUCAGGACCAGCACGUGAUCGAGAGCAUAAGAGAGCAACAAAUAAGAAGAACUCAGAGGGUUCAAGGGAUUUUGAGAGUUUAGAUGCUUGAAUGAUUUUAAACCAAAAGUACUUCUCUAAUGCAUUUCCCAAGAAUGCCUGACAUUAUAUAUCAGUAUGAAAGUCUAGUUCUUUAACUUAAAUUAUAUAGUUAUAUAGAGUUAUAUAGUUUUUUGAUGCAGCCUUUGGGACAAAAAGACGCUGUUAAACUCUUUUAAAUUGUUUAACUAAAGCAGACAUUAAACUCAAUCUGAUCUUGCAUUCAAGCAUCUGUCAUUAGGUUACAUAGAAUAGGGUCUUGUUUUUAAUAAAAGUUAAAUAUAACAUAUUUACUGUGUGGGAUUUUAUGCUAUUUCUGAGAAAGAAACUAUUCAUAAUUUGUCAUGGUUACUCACUUUCUGUUCAACUCUGUUUUACGACAUUUCCCUCUUUAAGAAUAUCCUAAUAUUUAAGAGAUAAUAGUUAUCUCUUGUUGCCAUCAUAUGAGGCAUGAUGUCAUAAAUCCUUUGCCCCACAUGGGUCAAACACAUGUAGGUUCUCA